rnacentral:rRNA from 1 species
AAUGCAAAUAUAAACCAACAUGGAUAGACCAUUGGUAGUUACCGAACCUAAAUUCAAUGCAAUAACAUCCACAAGAAAACUCUGCAGUACUCACUCGUUAACCUAACACCAGCGCAUUACAGGAAAGAUUUAAAAAAAGAGAAGGAAUUCGGCAAAUGACGGCCCCGCCUGUUUACCAAAAACAUCGCCUCUUGACUUAUAAUAAGAGGUCCAGCCUGCCCAGUGAAUUUUAAACGGCCGCGGUAUCCUAACCGCGCGAAGGUAGCAUAAUCACUUGUUCUUUAAAUGGGGACUUGUAUCAACGGCAUCACGAGGGUUUUACUGUCUCCUCUUUUUGAUCAGUGAAAUUGAUCUUCCCGUGAAGAAGCGGGAAUAUUUUUAUAAGACGAGAAGACCCCAUGGAGCUUUAAACCAAAUAACAACUUAACCACUUAUCCCAUAAUAAAUUUAAGCCCUGUUAUAAGGUUUUUGGUUGGGGUGACCGCGGAGUAAAGCACAUCCUCCACGACGGAAAGAACAGAAUCUUU